rnacentral:rRNA from 1 species
UGCGGGGGGUGCGAGCGUUGUCCGGAAUCACUGGGCGUAAAGGGCGCGUAGGUGGUUUGAUAAGGGUGUGGUGAAAGUCCGGGGCUCAACCCCGGAUCUGCCGUGCCGACUGUCAAACUCGAGGGCUGUAGAGGCAGACGGAAUUCCGGGUGUAGCGGUGGAAUGCGUAGAGAUCCGGAGGAAGACCGGUGGCGAAGGCGGUCUGCUGGGCAGUUUCUGACACUGAUGCGCGACAGCGUGGGGAGCAAACAGG